UGUGUUUCUGUGUAGGAAGAACAUGUCCUUUUGCAGCUGGAAGAAGGAAUUGAAGCCCUGGAGGCUGCUAUUGAUUACAAGAAUGAAAGUAUUCCGAGUCACCAGUACUUGCUUAGAUCCUCUUCACAGAUCCUUUCACAGAGUGAGGAUAAUGGAAUAGGAAAACUAGUUUCCUUGUCUGCUGAUGAGCUCAGAGCUAUCCUCUUCAAAUACUUUAACAAGAACAAGAUGGUGAAGGUAUUGCAGAAACCUUGAAAGAGUAUGAAGUAAAAGUCCAGCAACUGGAAAAAGACUUCUUUUACUCUAGAGAAAACCAGCAGAGAGCUGAAGAAGAAAUUGAAGGGCUUUUUUGGAGAGUCACCCCAUCAACUAAUGGCACCUACUAAAUGUAACAGUGCUGGUGACAGGGCAUCCAGUCAAGAUGAAUCACAAGCUGCUUCUGAGGAAUUCAAGCUAACACAUAACCUGGAAACCAACUGUCAAGCAGGAAAAGUAAAGGAAGCAGACAGAACAAAUAUUCUAAGGUCACGGCAGAAUUCAUACAAGCUUGGAGAAGAUAUAUCAGAAUUUGGAUGCAACAAAGAGCGUUUGUCAAGCACUAGUGAUGACAAAAUAGGAAGAGAUGAAGCUCAGCCUUCAAAAUCUCAUCCUCAGCUACCUUCUGUCACCCACAGAAGAGAGACCAUAACACAAUUUCAAGGAGUAACCUCUGUAAAAUUAUCUCACAGAGAGCUACGUCAUAUCCCUCCCUCAGAAUUAUCUUUGAGACGCUCAAGCCUUGGUGCAGGUGUCAGUUUUAUUGCUCCAGACUCCAUCGAAAUGGACAAAAAGUCUAGUAUCACCAAGACAUAGUUACUCUUCAUUGAAUUUUAAUAGCUGUUGGUACUGAAGGGGAGGAACCUGUGGUUCGACUAGAUCUUGCUGCUAGACAAGGAAAACGGAAAGCCUCCGCGGAUGAUGUAAGCACCCUUCCAGUGAAGCGCCGCCUUGCUGAAAGGCUGGGGAAGAAGGUAGAGGCUCCGGGAAAUGCUGACAAAGCACCCAAGAGAGAUCCAGUUCAAGUUGCCAAGUCUCUGAAGGACAGGCUGGGAUUACCUCCUAAACAGACCAGUACUGAGAGAGGGAAGGCUGCUAAGCCGAUGGGAGAGAUCCAUGUGAAAACACUGGAGGAAAUCCGUCGUGAGAAAGCUCUUCAGAGACGCGAAACUCAAGCCAAAGCCGAGGCUGAAGGGCAUGGUAAAACUGAAGAUUCCAGCGCAGGGGCAAGACCUGCUCGUGCAGCUCCCUCAGCACAACCCGGACCUGCCCCAGCAGAGCAGAAAUCUUUAUGGAGCACAAAACUAACAGGUGCUUUAAAAAAAGAAAAGAAGGCAGUGGAAUUGAACCGGCCUUUUCCUAAACUUUCCUCUGUACCUGAUGUACAGCCCACUCAGCAGAGUGGAACUCGUAAAUGUCCAGAGAAGAGCUUUGAAGAGAGACGGUGGGAGAAGUGGCAACAGCGAGAACAACAAGAGAAGCUUGGGAAGGAGGAAGCUGCUGUCAAAUCUACUGCUGGCUUCUUUAAUACUGAACCAGCAGGGAAAGUGGCAGCUCAAUUUCAGGGCCGGGAAGAUAAAACCAACUUGAUGACAUCUGCGAAGCCUUCGGGUGGGAAAGUCACUUUCCCCAAGAAGAAGGCGCUGAAACGUAAGGCACCUGGGAGUUAUCCCUCUGCCAUAGCAGCUGUGGAACUCCGGACUGCCUUGGAUGCUGACAUGAUGGGACCUCCAGCCAAAAAAGCAGCCAUGGGUGUUUCAGACGUGCCGGAGCACGCCCCAGCCAUCAGACUUGAAGAAAAUCCCCCAAACAGACCUGAAGUGCGUCUUGGAAGCCCGGCAAGAUUUGAGGAGCAGAUGGAGAUCGAUCUCGAGACCUCAACCUCAGCUUCUUCCCAGCUAGAAGAGGCACGCACAUGCCGGCUGAGUUCCACGGGGAACGCGCCCUUAUCUGCAGAUGAAGAUUUUGAGAAGCUACUUUGGGAAAUCUCAGGAGGCAGACUGGAAGCCGAAAUCGACUUAGACCCAGGGAAGGACGAGGAUGACCUCCUCCUUGAACUCUCUGAGAUGAUUGACAGUUGAACCGCGUAGUCCUAUGGUAUAUUUAAAAAAAAAAAAUAAAAAUUAAAACUGUUCUUCUUGUUGGAUACCCCGAGGUGAUCCUUUUUCUAACUGAGGCUUUGCAAUGAGACUUAAAGCACAGUCCGAAGUGGUAGAAAUUGGCAGGAUCUGCACUCAGUUGUCCUAAAUUUCCCUGCUGGUCAGAGUUAAGGUCUUGUGCAUCCGUUCUGUAACUAUAGGUGGCUACCUUCGCUAUCGAGAGGACAAAGCACUUCUUUUGGCACAGAAAGAUCUCCAUUGGCACGCCACGGUGGCUGCAAAUCGAUCUUCUGAUGGAGCGAUGCUCUGAAGGCUUAAAGGUAAAGCUUCUUCCUUCCUCCCCCCUUGGCACAACUCGAUGUUGGGCACAUUGUGAAGCUUCGGUGUUCUGAUUUCUCGGACAGUUGAUACCCAAAUCCUGGAGUUACUAUGUCAACUCUUGACUUUUACUCGUGUAUGCCAUUGUUUUGACUAUACCCGUGUCAGAUGAUGAAGCUGUAGGGGUGUGAGGGAGCAGAAUCGUUAUUCCAGUGUGUUGUGGACCAAACUUGCUGCCAGGAGUGGGGGUGGGGGUCAGCCCACCCAGCCUUACUUUCAAUUAUCAGGGAUGAUCAAAUGGUGAAGAGCAGCAGCUCUGCCAUGUGGCUCCACUACCCCCACUCCCUUCUCUUGUGCUGUACCAAAGUUCCCCCAGGCUUUGGUUGGUGCUUUUUGUUGGUGUGAGGAAUCCGGGGCGAGCAGUCGGGACUCUGCCGCAGUCACGGGGUCGAUGAAGGGUUGUUUAAGUGCCUCUUGGUUUUAAAAGUUGCUCCCCUGAGCCACUGGCUCUGCUGCCUGCUACAGCAAAUGUUCGGGUGCCAUCAGCAUCGCGCUUGGGCGUGGGCACUGACCCCGAGGAGGACAGAGCUGAGAUUCGGGUGUAUUGUGUACCCUGCCACCAGCCAUCGAUUUUUAUUUUUUUUUUCCCCUAGCAGAUCAAUUUUGAAUUAUUUUCCGAACUUUUCGCGGCACGGUAGGCUCUUCCCUCUAUGAUUUGUGAAGCUGUGGGGGCCCUCAGGUGUUUGCUGCUGGCAGAGGAAAAGCGCUUGUCGAAUUUGUUGUAAAUACUUAAUGUUGGGACAAAACCACGCGUCUCUGUGUUGAGGGAUGGGGAUCAAGAAGCAAGCCCACUGCUAUGACAGAGUCCCUAUAGGCAGUGUGGGUUUUCUCUCUAUGCAAGCCUCAUUAUUCAGAGGCAGAGUAUGGCUUCGUCCAUUCAAGGUCCAGAAUCAGUUGUCAAAUGCUAGCCAAAGCCAGUGGCUCCUGGGCUAUGUGACAAACUAACCCUAGAGCAAAAACCCUCCUUGUCCUCUUACCUGGUGCCCUUUCUGCGAUGCCUUUAGGGUGAGUCAAGGCUAUGAUCUCCACCUUCUGGGGCUGGUGUUUGAGCUAUGUCCUACCUCAGUGCUGAGACUCUUUUGCCUCUGUAGAGGCCCUUUGCCAUGACACGAGUGACGAUGAGAAC